rnacentral:rRNA from 1 species
UACGGAGGGAGCUAGCGUUGUUCGGAAUUACUGGGCGUAAAGCGCACGUAGGCGGCUUUGUAAGUUAGGGGUGAAAGCCCGGAGCUCAACUCCGGAAUUGCCUUUAAGACUGCAUCGCUUGAAUCCGGGAGAGGUGAGUGGAAUUCCGGAGUGUAGAGGUGAAAUUCGUAGAUAUUCGGAAGAACACCAGUGGCGAAGGCGGCUCACUGGACCGGUAUUGACGCUGAGGUGCGAAAGCGUGGGGAGCAAACAGG